GGGGAUUUAGCUCAGCGGCAUAAGCGCCUGCCUUGAAAGCAGGCAGUCGUGAGUUCAAUCCCCA
rfam:Cavia porcellus supercont2_9 genomic scaffold, whole genome shotgun sequence.